AGUGAGCUGGGGUGUUCGGAUGGUUUGGCUGUUAAAGAACGUAGAGAUAAAAAUAACAAACAGCCAUUGUCGGACUAAAAAGCAUUCGGUUCCAAAUUUAAUUUAGCGUGGGCAAAUCUACAAUGAACCUCUGUCUACAUGGAAAACACAGCAUAGUUCUCUCCUAAGUGUUGAGAGUACAGGAUGUAUCGCUAAGCCGGCAACCUUGGCGAGAUGCUGUUUUCCCUUCCACAAGUUCACAGAGGACGAUUUCCCGGCAUGCUCAUGCCAUUUAACAAACCACUACCUCCAUAUGCCCAGUGCAUCGCGACUUGGUUAUGCAAAUAGUGCAAUAAAAUACACGGAUAACGAUCUCCUGUCGAAAGCCUGGCUUGGAAAUAUCUCACAUCUGCCACUUGAACGAGGCAGCGAUCUAUGAAAGAUUAAGGCAACCCCACAGCAAGCAUUACACUUUCUUUAACGUUCAGUUGUUUGGAAAGUACCACUGCGGCAACGGUAUUCACAGUUGGUAUAUACAUAUAUUUAUGUCUUCAGUUGAUCUUCAGAUAUUGUUGUGACAAACCUGUCUACAAAGUUUUUCUCUGGCUAGGAUGUUAUUUGAAACUUUGUUUAUUCCGUUUAAAAAAUACACGCACCAAAAUCUUGCGGAUUUUCUGUAAAUGUCUAAUAAAACUCAACGGUCCUGCGGUACGUUUUCAGCUGCUUGAAGGUACAUUUGGAAGUGCCCGGAUGAACACAUGAAACUAGUCCCAAUCUAUCUCAAUGUUUGCAGUACGGGUGUCAGUAGGAAAGACGUCUUCAUGGUGCCCGAUAUUUAUUUGUUAUCAUAUUUCUUCUAAUCAAACUAUCAUCAUCAUUAUCAUUAUUAUCACCUUCAUUGUUAUUAUACUCAUCAUUAUUAUUAUGCCUACGUCCUGAAAGGGCGGGGGUAUAUUGUUACGCCAAGGUAUUCCGUCCGUCCUUUGUGUGCAACCUAUAACAAGAAAACUACUGCAUAAAUUCUUUUCAAACAUGGUGAACACUUUUAUGUCA